rnacentral:rRNA from 1 species
UACGGGGGGGGGCGAGCGUUGUUCGGAAUUACUGGGCGUAAAGGGUUUGUAGGUGGUCUGCUAAGUCAGACGUGAAAUCCCUCAGCUUAACUGGGGAACUGCGUCUGAUACUGGCGGACUUGAGGACAGGAGAGGAACGCGGAAUUCCAGGUGUAGCGGUGAAAUGCGUAGAUAUCUGGAGGAACACCGGUGGCGAAGGCGGCGUUCUGGACUGUUUCUGACACUGAAAAACGAAAGCCAGGGGGGCAAACGGG